rnacentral:rRNA from 1 species
GUUUAUGGCCGUACCACCCUGAAUGUGGCUGAUCUUGUCUGAUCUCGGAAACUAAGCAGGCUUGGUCCUGGUUUAUACUUGGAUGGGAGACUGCCUGGCAAUACUGAGUGCUGUAGACU